rnacentral:rRNA from 1 species
UACGGAAGGCAGCAGGGGGAAUAUUGCACAAUGGGCGAAAGCCUGAUGCAGCUAUGCCGCGUGUAUGAAGAAGGCCUUAGGGUUGUAAAGUACUUUCAUCGGGGAGGAAAAACAAAACUAAUAAUUUUAUUUCUUGACGUUACCCGAAAAAGAAGCACCGGCUAACUCCGUGCCAGCAGCCGCGGUAAUACGGAGGGUGCUAGCGUUAAUCAGAAUUACUGGGCGUAAAGAGCACGUAGGUGGUUUUUUUAAGUCAGAUGUGAAAUCCCUGGGCUUAACCUAGGAACUGCAUUUUGAAACUGAAAUACUAGAGUAUCGUAGAGGGAGGUAGAAUUCUAGGUGUAGCGGUGAAAUGCGUAGAUAUCUGGAGGAAUACCUGUGGCGAAAGCGGCCUCCUAAACGAAUACUGACACUGAGGGUGCGAAAAGCGUGGGGAGCAAACAGGGAUUAGAUACC